UACAGAGGUCUCGAGCGUUAGGCGGAAUCACUGGGCUUAAAGCGUGCGCAGGCGGUGAUGUAAGACAGGUGUGAAAUCCCCGGGCUUAACCUGGGAACUGCAUUUGUGACUGCAUCGCUGGAGUGCGGCAGAGGGGGAUGGAAUUCCGCGUGUAGCAGUGAAAUGCGUAGAUAUGCGGAGGAACACCGAUGGCGAAGGCAAUCCCCUGGGCCUGCACUGACGCUCAUGCACGAAAGCGUGGGGAGCAAACAGG
rnacentral:rRNA from 1 species